rnacentral:misc_RNA from 1 species
GAUGAAGAACGUAGCGAAAUGCGAUAAGUAAUGUGAAUUGCAGAAUUCAGUGAAUCAUCGAAUCUUUGAACGCACAUUGCGCCCCCUGGUAUUCCGGGGGGCAUGCCUGUUCGAGCGUCAUUUCACCACUCAAGCCUCGCUUGGUAUUGGGCAACGCGGUCCGCCGCGUGCCUCAAAUCGACCGGCUGGGUCUUCUGUCCCCUAAGCGUUGUGGAGACUUUCGCUAAAGGGUGUUCGGGAGGCUACGCCGUAAAACAACCCCAUUUCUAAGGUUGACCUCGGAUCAGGUAGGGAUACCCGCUGAACUUAAGCAUAUCAAUAAGCGGAGGA